UACGUACUGGGCGAACGUUAUUCGGAAUCACUGGGCUUAAAGGGUGCGUAGGCGGCUUUCCAGGUCCGGUGUGAAAUCUUACGGCUCAACCGUAAAAUUGCGCUGGAAACCGGAAAGCUUGAGUGUGCUAGGGGUGUGUGGAACUUCCAGUGGAGCGGUGAAAUGUGUUGAUAUUGGAAGGAACGCCGGUGGCGAAAGCGACACACUGGGGCAUAACUGACGCUGAGGCACGAAAGCUAGGGUAGCGAACGGG
rnacentral:rRNA from 1 species